rnacentral:rRNA from 1 species
AAUGAACGCUGGCGGCAUGCCUAACACAUGUAAGUCGAACGAGACCUUCGGGUCUAGUGGCGCACGGGUGCGUAACGCGUGGGAACCUGCCCUUAGGUUCGGAAUAACUCCCCGAAAGGGGUGCUAAUACCGGAUAAUGUCUUCGGACCAAAGAUUUAUCGCCUUUGGAUGGGCCCGCGUUGGAUUAGCUAGUUGGUAGGGUAAAAGCCUACCAAGGCGACGAUCCAUAGCUGGUCUGAGAGGAUGAUCAGCCACACUGGGACUGAGACACGGCCCAGACUCCUACGGGAGGCAGCAGUGGGGAAUAUUGGACAAUGGGCGAAAGCCUGAUCCAGCAAUGCCGCGUGAGUGAUGAAGGCCUUAGGGUUGUAAAGCUCUUUUACCCGGGAUGAUAAUGACAGUACCGGGAGAAUAAGCUCCGGCUAACUCCGUG